AGAUCAACAGGAUUCUUGAGUCCCACGAAGACGUUUCUUAAGCAAAUUAAAACUUGCGACAACGAAAGAGACUAAGCGCCGGUUGUUCCAACUUCUUGGUAAACUUACCUACCAGGUAAAUUUACCAAGAGGUUGGAACAACCGACUCUAAACGGAUUGUUAAUCGAGAGUAUCGAUGAAUAUCGAGAGUAUCGAGAUGGCCAAUAGCGUAAACGUAGUCGCACGAGGUUGCAAGAUGCAGCUAUACAUCCACUUUUACCAAUGUUAAUUAGCUUUAGUCUCAAUUUAACCUCCUUUUUAACUUUUUCUAUAUCUAGAAAUAAGAAAAACAGAGAUUAAAGCUAAUUUACGUUGAUGGAAAUGGGCAUAUGUAAUUUGCCUUACAAUAUUUUACAAUUAAUCACAACUACCAAUAGACUAUUGCCAAAUGGCUUUAACUUUACGCGUCAUGGCAUCCCUGAUGCUUGAAUAUAUGUGCUGAAUGCCGCUUAGCGCCAACUUCGCUCGAGUCGUUCUCUGUACAUCUAUACAUGUGCAUGGUUAUGGCUUCUUACGUUCAUACGCGAAACCACAAUUUAGAAAGAGUCUCGUUAAUUCGCGCCGUAUCUUCCUCGGCACGUUCACUGUCGGCGUUUUAAUGCGCCCGCAGUCAAUUAAAACCCGGAUCACUACGUUGUUUGCUAAUGUAUACAUGGAAUCUAUUCUCCGCGAAGAUAACAAGAUCUCCCGUUUUUUUUUCCAACAUGAAAAAUAGUUGAUCAGUUUGACUUCUAAAAAGGUUGGCUCUCGUAUCGUGAUAUAACAUGCCUGCUGUUACGUGCAAACUGACGUACAUUCCCAGGAGCGCCGCUUAAUCAGAUCUGAUUCGAUGAUCACCGGAAAGCGAGUCUUCCGUUUUCCGAUAGCACAACAGCGUGCUAAUAUUGACACACACGUGCGGACUUAUAUUCGUGAUGCAUGAAUGGGUAGGGCAUAAAUGCAUGCAAUGUACACACAUACGCAUAACACAUACACAAAUGCAACGACAGGGGAAGGAGCGGUCGGUUCAUAGCAGCAGCGGAGGAGGAGGAGGAGGAUGGAGGUGGUGGUGGUGGUGGCUGCCGCGGCAGACGGUUUCAUCGAUUGGCAUUGCCGGCAUUCGUCCGGAGAAGAGUGUGAGCGGGGUCCGUGAACUCCGCGCCGACGGCUCAUCCCAGUUUUUCAUGGUCACGGUAAAAGAGGGUGGUUUCUCCCUCGGCGAAGGGCCGAAAGUCGCGCGUCCUCCGCCUCGCAGAACUCGCGCGAUCAGGGAUGAUUGUCGUAAUAAUAUCAUUGAUAUCAUAAUUCUCUCAUUCCUUUUACCCUCUGAAGUCUCACACUCAAAUUGAAUGAAAUGUAGCGUUCUAGUCGGAAACACUCAUUCAAUACGAAUUUGAAUUUCAAAGCUGAGCUGGAAUUAUGUCCCAUUCGUGAUUCUGAUGUUAUAAUACACUUUCUAUCCUUCUAUUUAAUUAUAAACGAACACGAAACGAACUAAGAAAGGGAUAAGGCCGCUGCCAUCCGUACGCGAAUCCCAUAACAUUUAGGAAAACGAAAUUAUUAUUGUCCUGACGCGGCGAGACGUAAUUAGGCAACCUGCAUCCUGGGUUUACGAUCGCCUGGUAACACCACUGUUCGCGAGGAAAACUGGCUAGAAAGACCUAAUCGCGAGCGAACCGAGCUGGGUAAACGCAAUUGCAUGGAAGCGUACGAUUCGCAACGAUGGACUUGCGCUUAUACAGAAGCCUCCUCGUUCGCCUUGAAAUGAACGCGAGACAUGAUAAAAUGCAAAUGGAACGCCCGAUGACGAUUCUCCCUUAGGAAAAUAUGAGACGAGGAAAUCGUCAUGAUCGAUGCUACAAGAAAUAAAUCUGUGAUUUACUAAGAAUUUUCUUGCAAUUAAGAAAACAAGAUUACUUUAAAUCAUAAAGGACUAAUGUCGAAUAUGCAAUAUAUUCGCAUGGAAAAUGGAUCGACGACGUUGACAAGAAGAAGACGCAUAUGCGUGCUCCGCGUGCGUUAUAUGCAUCUGUCAAAACCACGCCCUUAUCCCCUAUCCUGCUGCCUCGCUCUAUUCGCCUGUAUGCGAAGGAAGAGCAAGGAAGUCCUCGACAGGCUUUCCACAAUUGAAGCAAUCAAUCUCGCUUCAAAAGAGCGAUUAAAUUCAAUUAUUAUUAACAGUUCGCAUCUAAUUAGAAGUAUUAAGAGUUACAAAUUAUAUUUUAGAAAUAAUUUCUUAUAGCAAAUACAAAUAUAUAGAAAAAUGCAAAAAAUAUGAUUAUUUAAAAAAAUCAUAUAUAAUGGUAAAAAUAUUAUUUUAAAAAAUAGAGACGCGUCAUAUAAUAAUUAUAUGAAGCGUGAAAAGAGAUAAAUAAGUUUUGAUAAGUUAUCAUAUCUAAUUUUGCGAUUGCAAAUUCAUACAUUCGGAAAAUAUAGUACAUAUAUCUUGGAAUUUAUUCUCUGAUUGCUCCUUCGAAGCGUUUCUAAUUACUCCAAUUGAAAAUGUUAGGAAUUUGUGCGAUACGUCCCACUCAUUAAUUCGAGCUCAUUAAUUCGUGCUCGUUAAUCUUAUCGUGCAUAAUUGCAGUGAGAUAUAAUACGGUAUGUAUGAAGUAUCAUCAAUAAUAUGCACAUAUGAAAUAUACCUUGUCUGUAAGCGAUAAAAAGUCUAAUUCGCUCACGUUUUAAUAAUAAGCAAUUAACGCCAUGAUAAUUUUAGGAAAAUGUAUGGAUAUCGUGUGUGAUAAUGACAUAUAACAGUUAUGAUAGAACAUUCGUAAUUAAAACGGUAAAUCACUCAUUCCCGUUUCGUCCGAUUCUCUGUCAUUCCACGAAGAACAUCAUUAAUGCGCAAUGCCAUCGUUCAAUUAUGGCGAUAAAGGAAUAAAAAAAAUACAUCAUUUUCUCCUACAAAGAAAGAGAGAGAGAGAGAGAGAGAGAGAGAAAGAGAUCGUCUGUCUUUCGACCACACCCCGAUUCCAUUUUCGAUCGCAUCAAAAGACCGAUCGAUAUCUUGAUGCAGGCCCGGCCUGUGAAGACACGUAAUUUCAGAAUCACUAUCAUCUUCAGAGAAAAAUCACUUCGCCAAUUCAGGAACUCUCGGUUGAGAUAUUUUGCAAAUGAAGAACUGAUCGCUGAACAUUGUUUUGUCGUUUUACGCGAAGGAAAGCACCAUUAUACACAGAGUAUCACGACUCUCUGACGGUUGACCGCAGAUUCUCACGCCAGUCCGAAGUCAAUCCUUUCUCACUUCCGUAACAUACGAAAAAAGGGACAGAAGCCGAUGAAAGGAAGAAGACGCUUGUUGUCCUCUUAGGAAAGUUGGGCGAGCAGCUUCUCUAAGGCCUGGUCUACAAUAGCUAGAGUAAGCAUGGAGUAAGAAGUAAGACUAGGUGUAAAAGGAUUAAUCCAGUGUAAGAAAGCGUAAGGGCAUAAGCGAAAUAAAUUAUUUUCAUUUUGUCUUACUCCUACUCCUGCUUUUCUUAACGCUCGGUCAAUCACAAUGCAGAAGGAAAAUUACCUUACUCUUACUUCUUACUCCAUGCUUGCUCCAGCUAUUGUAGAUCAGGCCUAAAAGUACACAGGAAACGUCUCCGAGAGACGUUUGAAAUGUCUGAAGGAUAUUUGCCAGGGAAACAACGGCUUAACUCGCGGCGAAGGGUGCACUGACCUGUCAGUUGACGCGUACGAGUUUCUAGGGCGCAAGCUGGCGCGGAUAGACUGUCGAACAGCAGGCGAACGUUGUUCAAAGGCAGGAACGAGACGGUACACUGACUGCACUGACUGACCGGUUAGUGCUUCUGCGGCAUGUAAUACCAGGUAACAGCGCCGAGCAGCGCCCGUCGUUCAUCUCCCUCCAUCCGCCACUUCCCUCCUUAAAGCGACAGGCCCCUCUCGCCAGGAUCGGCGCAGAAAAGGGUUCGAUGGAGUACUUGCAAUGUCGCCUUUCAAUAUUGCACAUCUUGGAAUAAUUAAAUAGCCUAUAGUUAACAUAAAUAAUUAAUUGUAAAGAUAGAAUAACAUCACACAAAGAAAAAUCUUUCGGUUUUAUUUUAUUAUAUUAUUCGUAACAUAUAAAUAAAAAAUGAAAUAAGUAGAACAGUAUUUGUAUUUGGUAAAGUUAAUUCAGAAUUAACUGUUCAAUAUAUGUACACGAGAAAAGAACAAUAUAUUGCUCGUAAUAUAUUAAUCUGUACUAAAGAUAUUUCAGUUAUAAAUCUGGAUCUUGCGAGUGUAUACAUCGUUCCUGGACUGGACCCCACCGCUCCUGAAUCGAGACCAAUCAACGCUUAGCUUCUACCUCCCCAAUUGCGCCAAUUAAUCGCGGCUCCCUUUUCUACGAGUUUUUUUCGAUCGUCUCCUUGACCGUCAUACGGAGGGGUAACUGACCAUAACUGACUCACCCUUGGUGAUGACCAGGAAUUUACAUUCGACACACGGAUCCACGCCAACAUUGAACGACACGGCCUUUUUUUCUUUGCGACGAUAUUUUUACAUUAGCGUUCAUCUUAUGAUUCUUGGCCUCGUUCUCAAACUGAAUUCCAGCUCUAAUUCGGUUCGCAAUGAUUUAUUACCGACGUGUUAGGGAAGGGGCAAAAAGACUAUAAUACUGGGGGUUGAUACACGUUAGUGAGUCAUUGAAAUCCCAUGUGGGCCCAUCUGUGUGUCAUAUGUUCUCCCGCUACGUUAGGUUCCGCUUAGCUGAGAAUUCGAAAUAACUAGAGGUAGAAAGUUAUAUUGGUUGAAUCUUUUCAAAUUUGACAGCAUUCGGCAUAGAUGCGCGAUUAUUUGGUUUGGAGCUCACUCAAUCACGUGAUUAUGAGUUUUCAUGAACUGCUUUGAAAUUAAAUAAAAUUUCAAUAAUGUAA